GAUGAACGCUGGCGGCGUGCCUAAUACAUGCAAGUCGAGCGAACAGACGAGGCGCUUGCUCCUCUGACGUUAGCGGCGGACGGGUGAGUAACACGUGGAUAACCUACCUAUAAGACUGGGAUAACUUCGGGAAACCGGAGCUAAUACUGGAUAAUAUAUUGAACCGCAUGGUUCAAUAGUGAAAGACGGUUUUGCUGUCACUUAUAGAUGGAUCCGCGCCGCAUUAGCUAGUUGGUAAGGUAACGGCUUACCAAGGCAACGAUGCGUAGCCGACCUGAGAGGGUGAUCAGCCACACUGGAACUGAGACACGGUCCAGACUCCUACGGGAGGCAGCAGUAGGGAAUCUUCCGCAAUGGGCGAAAGCCUGACGGAGCAACGCCGCGUGAGUGAUGAAGGUCUUCGGAUCGUAAAACUCUGUUAUUAGGGAAGAACAAAUGUGUAAGUAACUAUGCACGUCUUGACGGUACCUAAUCAGAAAGCCACGGCUAACUACGUG
rnacentral:rRNA from 1 species